CCUACUUGGUGAUAACCGGCUGAUUAUGAUCACCACAUUUCAUCAAUUAUUUUCUUAGGUUUUCAAUGAUCGCAGCAAUAUUUCUAGAGAGAUCUAGCAGGUCGGUUGCUCACCGUGUGCUCUCUGUUCGGUUCCCGAGAAUGUGUAGGAAAAGAAAAGAUACAAAAUUUCACGAGGGUUUUGAAAUUUCUAAGGACAUUCUUGGAACGUGCUUGUUCAUGUUUUUUUAUGCUUCAUGAAAGUUGAUCUUCUGAAACUCUCUUGGGAAAGUGUAACCGGAAUCUGCCGAAAGUCACCUCUGCAAUCCGCCCAAAGCCACCGUCUUUCAGGGUGACUGUUGCUUCAUUUUGUUACUUACAAUUCUUUCCACCCCCAUAUGAUGUAGAUGAAAUGGCUGGAGCAUGUAGCAAAAGCUUGUUUGUUCUGCCAAGUCCAG